CCUAGAGGACUAAGAAGGCAGAGCCUGCUCAGCACUGGGCUCUGCUGAUACUGUCCUCUUAGAGAAACCGGAUGGGGAGAGAGGCCCAGCUUGCAGACAUGUACGGGCCUCACUGUGCCAUCCGACACCA